CCUACGGGUGGCAGCAGUGGGGAAUAUUGCGCAAUGGGCGAAAGCCUGACGCAGCGACGCCGCGUGAGGGAUGAAGGUCUUCGGAUCGUAAACCUCUGUCAGCAGGGAAGAACGGUCACUGUGCUAAUCAGCAGUGAAUUGACGGUACCUGCAAAGGAAGCACCGGCUAACUCCGUGCCAGCAGCCGCGGUAAUACGGAGGGUGCGAGCGUUAAUCGGAAUUACUGGGCGUAAAGCGCUCGUAGGCGGUAUGUCAAGUCAAGGGUGAAAUGCCCGCGCUCAACGUGGGGACUGCCUUGGAAACUGGCGAACUGGAGUGUAGGAGAGGAUAGUGGAAUUCCAGGUGUAGGAGUGAAAUCCGUAGAUAUCAGGAGGAACAUCAGUGGCGAAGGCGACUAUCUGGCACAUAACUGACGCUGAGGAGCGAAAGCGUGGGUAGCAAACAGGAUUAGAUACCCGAGUAGUC
rnacentral:rRNA from 1 species